GCCCCGGGAGAGGGCAUAAUGAAUCUUUAAUGUAACAGUUUGGAGCGAAUAUUUUUCCCCCUUAACCUCUAAGAGAUCAUUGUUUCCUCUUUCCAUGGUAACCAGAACACUUGAAAUUGCCAAAACUUGAGACAAAAACCAGAAAAAUACAAUUAACAGAAGACAAAUGUUAAAGGGAGCAUGUAUCACAGUGUGGCAAACGUUUUGAAAUUUGUUUGGAAAGAUUUUCUUCUUAUUUCUUUGCUUGGAAUAAGGCCACAAUGUCUAGAAUGUAGUAGCAAUAGCUUCAUGGCAUGCUGCUGCAUGUUCAUUGAAUAGAUUUUACUCUUUUCUUGAAAGGGAAGGAGAGACCCAUGGGCCUUGGCAGAAAUCAAGUGAAGGUAAAAUGUUGGAAGCUGCUCUGCGGGCAGGUCAUGAUGUUAACCACAAUGAGAAAGCCAGUCUGGCUGAAGUGCCCUUGCUCCCUCCCUUCCAUGGAAUGAACAAAUACUUAUUGAGCACCUACUAUUUUCUAGGCACCUCAGAGCCAUCAUCGUGAAUUUCAAUUAUCAUCAUGUAUUAACCCCUCAGAAGCCAGAGUUUGACCAUCUAAUAACCUUCCCUUUAUCUGCAACCUACCUGGAAUCCAGGAAGUCUGCAAGAAGCUGAAGUAAAUGUGACAUAGACUGUGCAUAUUUUAACCAUAGGGGAUGUCCUCAUUAAGAACUUAGUUGAUUUUUAUUUUACACACAAUUCUAACAAGUGGGUUUUCUGGGUUCCAAAGCCACAGCAAAUGGGAAGCAACAAUUCAGAAAGGGAGGAGGAAUGGGGUUAUAUGACAAUAAUUAAAAGUAACAGGGGACAGCACAACUGUAGAGGAGAAGACCAAAAAAACUGAGGGAAAAAAGACAUAAAAACUAAAAACUAAAUAAAAAGUGAAAGGAAGGAAGGAAGAAAGGAAAGAAAGAAUGAAAGAAGUCUAGAGUUGUUAGUUGUGGACAAACUGUCUUGCAUGCCUUAGUAGCUCUUGAGGUCAUCAUUGUGUUUAUAGUGAGACGCUAUGCUUAAGAAGCCAAGGAAGUGCAUCACAUUAGAUUUCUAGCCUACAGGGUUAAGAUUUUUUUUAAAGUUUUGGUACUUAAGAAAUAAAUCUUCAGUUUUUUGGGGAAAAUGUCUAUUCAAGAUGGUUCUUAUAAAGGUUCUUAUAACCAUGGUUUUAUUGUAGUGUAGUUCUGUGGACGUGUUAGUUAAUAUAGAUUUCAGGUUGAAAAAAUAUCUGACAUACGAGCUUUUGCUGAGACUGCUUCAUUUCACAAGAUAUUUAAUUCUGGGUUUGAACGAAGUCAUUGGAAGUGACACUUUUCGUAUCUGAAUUGUCAUGAUGCUAUUCUUGACAAGGAAUGAGUUCUUGAAUAUUUAGAAUAUUGUAGGUGAUAAAAAUGUCCUUAAUAAAUACGUUAUAAAGUUUGGCUUUCACAUUUUUAACUUUAAUUUUCAUGCUUGUCUCUUAAAAGCAAAUAAUCUUUUUCUAGGCAUAAGGUGCCCCCAAAAGUUACUUGGUUGUCUGAACUGUAUGUCUUUACUUCCUCCAGAUGGGAAUGAGAAUGAAUAAAAUACUGUUUGAUCAGUUUGGAAAAUG